GACGAACGCUGGCGGCGUGCCUAAUACAUGCAAGUCGAACGCUGAAGGAGGAGCUUGCUUCUCUGGAUGAGUUGCGAACGGGUGAGUAACGCGUAGGUAACCUGCCUGGUAGCGGGGGAUAACUAUUGGAAACGAUAGCUAAUACCGCAUAAUAGUAGAUGUUGCAUGACAUUUGCUUAAAAGGUGCAAUUGCAUCACUACCAGAUGGACCUGCGUUGUAUUAGCUAGUUGGUGGGGUAACGGCUCACCAAGGCGACGAUACAUAGCCGACCUGAGAGGGUGAGGAGUGAAACGGGAACUGAGAGGCGGUGCAGGGACCUACGGGAGGCAGAAGUGGGGAAUGUUGGAAAAUGGGCGAAAGCAUGAUCCAGACAUGCAGGGUGUGUGAAGAAGGUCUAGGGAUUGUAAAGCACGUUAAGGUGGGAGGAAGGGAAGGAAGUGAAUACCUUGCUGUUGGGACGUUAGCAACAGAAUAAGCACAGGCUAAAUUCGUG
rnacentral:rRNA from 1 species